UUAUUUUCCAAGUUCCUCUUUGUUCCUGCCCACUUUUCCAAUUUGGAAAGGUCAGUUUAAAUUCUAAAGCAGACAACCCACAAUUUACAAGCGGAUCCACUUCCAAAAGUUCACGGUUUGAAUUCUGAAGCACUUGGAAACAAGGCCAUAAAUUGUAGUCAAGUUCUGAGGCCGGCCCAUUAGUGCUUUAAAAGACCUAAUAUUCCCUUUGAAAUAGCGUUUUAAGAUAAAUGGUGCGUAAGUACUGCAAGAGCAGAUGGAGGUUUCGGUCGGUUUUUAGGACUUUCAGAAGCUUGGAAAGUCUUUGGAGGUUUCUCAGAGAGUCGGAACAUAAAAUCAGAGGAGCUAAGGGAAAUGCGUAUGUACUACGGAGUAACUGAUGGAAUGGAAUCAACUGCGCUGUGGUCCGGGAGAGACGUAAAACCGUGGAACGCAGUCUUCGCUCGGUUCCAAGGUUGACAGCAGGAAGUUGCGGCGAAGGCGCCCAGGUGCUCUGGUUUAAUCACCACCCACAACGUCCACAAGGUGGCACUGUUGACUACAGUUACCGCGGCUGGGUUGCCGUUGGGCACCCGAACGCGAUGAUUGGGGCGGCCGUUUGGGGGUCUGGAGAAAGGAAUAACCGUAUUUUUCCUGCACUUCCCCUUUGAUUAAGUCUGUCGUCCCCGUAAGAACGACACCCACUUUUCGUCAGUUCUCGUAGGAGCGUGUUGGUUGCACCCUGUGCCCAUUCCCGCUGGGGACCGCAUGGUGAGUCGGAAUGAUCUCCGGCCUCAAGGAAUUCAGCAUCCAGGAGAGGAGACAGAUACGUACACAAUAGUUCAAUCGAGAGUUAUUACAUGAGUUCCCACUGUGCCUCAGCGGGUUAGGAAACGCACAUCGUGUCUGUGAGGAUGGGUGUUCGAUCCCUGGCCUCGCUCAGUGGGUGAAGCAUCUGCUGUGGCUCGGAUCCCGCGUGGCUAGGUCCAAAGCGAAUUUUUUAAACCUGGAAUUAGAAAAACUUCAGAGCCAGGAGAAUCCAGAGAGAUGAGCCAGUCUGGAAGCUUCACCUGUUAGAUGAGGAAACUGCAGCCCAGAGGGGGGAAGAAGUCUUGCCUGAAAUCACACAAGAUCUUAGAGGCAGAACCAGGGGUGGUGGCGAGGGCUCUAGACGUGAUGUGUGGCGCUUAAGGUCGGGUUCUGCCACAUACGGGUGACACCCUGAAUGAAUUCCUCAUCAAGGGCUCAGUUUCCUUAUCUGUAAAACAAAGAAGACCGUGUUCCCCAGAGAUGGGGUGAGAUGCCUCAAGGGCUUAGUGCAGAAGUGGGAGCCACUCUCGUCAGCCUGGCUUUCUUGGAAGACAGGGCGGGUGCUUGGGCACACGCUGAUCUCAGCUCCCUUCCAGGCGGCCCCCGGUGGGAGUUCUGCGUAAAUCAACCCCCGGAAAUGUGAGUGAUUCUGCGGCUUCCUCCCUCGCUUCAGAACAGCGGAUCCCCUGGGACACGAGCGCUGGGGGGCCUCCAGCUCCUGUUACCGCCGCGUCUGAGAAAGGCUGGUGUCUUGUAGGUACAGCUUUCAAAGUUAAAUAGAGCCGUGAUUUGGCCAGAAGGACAAAUUGCCUGGUUCACUUUCUCCUGAUCCAGGUGGACAAGACCCUGUGUGUCAGGCUGUCACAGUUCCUCGGUGUGGCAGUCCAGUCUUGACCCACAAGAGAGCUGCGGGAGCGAGCAGGCCUUGGGGCCAGGCCCUGCAAGCACCCGUCGUGCUGAUCCAGGCACGCUCUGGCCCCUUCCUCCCGGCUCCCUAGGCUCCCGGCGAGUCCCUGGGGCAGCUGCCUGAGCAGGUUACGCAAGACCGCGGGUCUCGCACAGACAGCAAAGUGGUCAGUAUGGCUUCACUGUGAGAGCCAGUGGGUUUGUCAUGACUCCGUGGGUGGCACGUGCCACAACCACAACUCGAACCAGCUUAAGCCGCAAAGGGAAUUACUAGCUCAGAGGGUAGCUGGAGAUUUGGAGGAGGAGCUGGGUUUAAUGCAGGCUCAGAUCCAGGAACACAAGCAGAGUGCUUCCUGCUUGGUUCUCCCCCCCCCUCCCCCCCAAUUUGGUCUUCGUCAUCAGACGGAGUCUCGUCAUUUGUGGCCCAGAAAAAGCCACAAGACUGCAGGCCUGCACACCUUGACCGGCUGAAAUUCCAGGUCAGAAAGACCUGCCUCUCUUCCUGUCGUUCCUGCACCCACCCUGGGGGUUGGGGGGGCACCGACCUUCGGCCCCCCCACCAGUCUUUAUCGCUCAUGAAAUGAGUGCUGUUAUCGCUCCUAGUUUGCAGUCUGAGUGUCUGUGGUGUCUUAGCUUGCUAGGCUUGUGACAGUAGCACAGACCGGGUGGCUUAACAGUGGACAGCUCCUUUCUCCUGCUUCUGGAGGCUGGACCUCUACAGGCCAGGCGUCAGCAGGACUGGUUUCCUCUCUUUGGAUCGGGGGCCUCCUUGGCCUGCAGGUGGUGGCCCUCCUGCUCCCCGGUCCCCUAGCCUUUCCUCUGGGCACACGCACCCCUGCAGGUCUCGUGUCAUCAGGACACCAGCCAGACUGGCACAGGGCCUGUGCUCACCUCCUCGUUUCUGCUUGUCACCUCUCGCAAGGCCCCGUCUGCGAACCCAGCCUCGUUCUGAGGGCCUAGGGGUUAGAGCUUCAACAUGACUUUUGAGGGGGUGCAUUUCAGCCUCUUACCCCCCUAGUUAGUGGUGAGGCUGAGAUUUGUGCCCAGGGAGGCCGAGUCUAGCCUGCGGCUGCCAUGUCCCUGCCACGGCUCGGGCUGGGCCCCGUGUAGGCCGAAUCCUUACAACCCCGAGCAGCCGGGGAGGGACGGUAGCCACUGAGGAUCUCAGCA
rnacentral:lncRNA from 1 species